rnacentral:misc_RNA from 1 species
AAAAGAAGCGAAAGAAACUGAGUUGGGCUUGGACGAGUUAAGAAUUUAUAAGAGAAAGAGAGAAAUAAUUAUGGGGAGAGGAGACAAAGAGACAAAUAGAAAAAAGAGGCAAAUCGCUUUUCAGAUUGGAAGAAGCUGACACCAUUACUGGGAAGUCCAGAGAAGCUGCAGCACAGCUACAAAGUGUUGGGCUUUCGGCGGGAAAAAGAAGAGGUUAUUGGGAGAGAAGGAUCG